UACGUAGGGGGCAAGCGUUGUCCGGAUUUAUUGGGCGUAAAGAGCGUGUAGGCGGCUUGUUAAGUCUUGCGUGAAAUCUCGGGGCUCAACCCCGAGCGGUCGCGAGAAACUGGCAGGCUAGAGUGCGGGAGAGGAGAGUGGAAUUCCUGGUGUAGCGGUGAAAUGCGCAGAUAUCAGGAAGAACACCCGUGGCGAAGGCGGCUCUCUGGAACGCAACUGACGCUGAGACGCGAAAGCGUGGGGAGCAAACAGG
rnacentral:rRNA from 1 species